CAAAGGUAUUAAAAUGAAUACAAUCUCUGGCGCAAAUAUUUGUUCAAAGAUUUUAAUGCAUUUCAGAAUCGGAAUAAUAUUAAAAUGUUCCAUCUUUUUGCUUAUAGGGUUUUGGAUCUCAGAUUCCUGUCGAGGUGUAUCAAGAAUCAGCUCAUGGUGUCAUGCCUACCAAUGAAGGAAGCCCCAAGUCAGUUGCCGAUAAAAGUGUUGAAGGUGUAUCUUCUAUAUCAAAGGUUGUUCAUGCAGCCGAUUCAAAUCGAGAGACGCUGCACAAUGUCAAAGUUGACAUUCAACAAGGUAAUUACCUUGUUGAGUUUGAGGACGGGGAUGCUGUAGUGGAAACGGAACACAUUUCUCAGUUUGAGUUGGCUGAUGACUUACUCCCAUCUCAAAAAACUAUUGCAAAAAUUGUGAUGACACUGCGUAAAGACAGGCGCCCCGGCCCUUUGCAAGUUUCUCCCUAUAGGACAAAUUUUGGGUCGGCUUACACGGUUAGUAUUGAGUUACUUUUCAUUUUAAGAUUGUAUUCAAUUCUCCUUUUAUUUAAUGUGAUUUAAUUUUUGUGAAGCAGGUAGUUCAGUUAAGUUGACAGUAAUAUUUGACAAAAAGCACCCAUUUGAGAAUAACUGUAUCAACGGGCCACAUGAUUCAAAGCUUUUCGAUAAUUUCUCAAAAUGGAUUAGGGAGGGGCUGCUUGUAAGGCAUGAGAACAGAAAGAACAAAGAUGACGAUUACAAGAAGGGCAAGGCAACACUGGCGAAAUUCUUGGAUUGUGGUAUAAAGAAAAUUAAUGACAAAAAUUGGUUCUACCUUUUAGCAAUGGAUGGUCAAAUGUGGAAUGACGAGCACAUUGAUGUCAUGUUUUAUUACUUCCGAAAGAAAUCCAAGUAUGAUACAAACAACACAUACAAGUUUACCACUGUCGACUGCCUUUUCAAGUCAAAGAUUGAUGAUAUUCACAAAGCGUAUGCUGACCCGGAUGCUGCCUUAAGCCUUGGUCGACAAGAAGAUGCUUUAUCUGAAUACGUUAAAGGCCACCGGUUGCUAUGCAGUCUCCCGUGGCAUUUGGUUGACCAUGUAUUCAUUCUAGUCAA